rnacentral:rRNA from 1 species
GAUGAACGCUAGCGGCAGGCCUAACACAUGCAAGUCGAGGGAGGAGCUUUCGGGCUUCGACCGGCGUACGGGUGCGUAACGCGUAUACAAUCUGCCUUUCACAUAGGGAUAGCCCAAAGAAAUUUGGAUUAAUACCUAAUGGUAUAUAGGAGUGGCAUCACCUUUAUAUUAAAGCUGAGGCGGUGAAAGAUGAGUAUGCGUUCUAUUAGCUAGUUGGAGAGGUAACGGCUCUCCAAGGCGACGAUAGAUAGGGGUUCUGAGAGGGAUAUCCCCCACACUGGUACUGAGAUACGGACCAGACUCCUACGGGAGGCAGCAGUGAGGAAUAUUGGACAAUGGUCGGAAGACUGAUCCAGCCAUGCCGCGUGCAGGAAGACGGCCUUAUGGGUUGUAAACUGCUUUUGCAGGGGAAGAAUAAGGAGUACGUGUACUUUGAUGACGGUACUCUGCGAAUAAGCAUCGGCUAACUCCGUG